rnacentral:rRNA from 1 species
CCUACGGGUGUCAGCAGUGGGGAAUAUUGCACAAUGGGGGAAACCCUGAUGCAGCGACGCCGCGUGAGCGAUGAAGUAUUUCGGUAUGUAAAGCUCUAUCAGCAGGGAAGAAAAUGACGGUACCUGACUAAGAAGCCCCGGCUAACUACGUGCCAGCAGCCGCGGUAAUACGUAGGGGGCACGCGUUAUCCGGAUUUACUGGGUGUAAAGGGAGCGUAGACGGCGAUGCAAGCCAGAUGUGAAAGCCCGGGGCUCAACCCCGGGACUGCAUUUGGAACUGUAUAGCUGGAGUGUCGGAGAGGCAGGCGGAAUUCCUAGUGUAGCGGUGAAAUGCGUAGAUAUUAGGAGGAACACCAGUGGCGAAGGCAGCAUACCGGCGCUCAACUGACGCUCAUGCACGAAAGCGUGGGUAUCGAACAGGAUUAGAUACCCCAGUAGUC